GGGUUGUGAGGUUAAGCGACCAAGCGUACACGGUGGAUGCCCUGGCAGUCAGAGGCGAUGAAGGACGUGCUAAUCUGCGAAAAGCGCCGGUAAGGUGAUAUGAACCGUUAUAACCGGCGAUGUCCGAAUGGGGAAACCCAGUGUGACUCGUCACACUAUCAUUAACUGAAUCCAUAGGUUAAUGAGGCGAACCGGGGGAACUGAAACAUCUAAGUACCCCGAGGAAAAGAAAUCAACCGAGAUUCCCCCAGUAGCGGCGAGCGAACGGGGAGCAGCCCAGAGCCUGAAUCAGCAUGUGUGUUAGUGGAAGCGUCUGGAAAGGCGCGCGAUACAGGGUGAGAGCCCCGUACACAAAAGCGCACAUGCUGUGAGCUCGAUGAGUAGGGCGGGACACGUGGUAUCCUGUCUGAAUAUGGGGGGACCAUCCUCCAAGGCUAAAUACUCCUGACUGACCGAUAGUGAACCAGUACCGUGAGGGAAAGGCGAAAAGAACCCCGGCGAGGGGAGUGAAACAGAACCUGAAACCGUGUACGUACAAGCAGUGGGAGCCUCUCUUUAUGGGGGGUGACUGCGUACCUUUUGUAUAAUGGGUCAGCGACUUAUAUUCUGUAGCAAGGUUAACCGCAUAGGGGAGCCGAAGGGAAACCGAGUCUUAAUUGGGCGUUAAGUUGCAGGGUAUAGACCCGAAACCCGGUGAUCUAGCCAUGGGCAGGUUGAAGGUUGGGUAACACUAACUGGAGGACCGAACCGACUAAUGUUGAAAAAUUAGCGGAUGACCUGUGGCUGGGGGUGAAAGGCCAAUCAAACCGGGAGAUAGCUGGUUCUCCCCGAAAGCUAUUUAGGUAGCGCCUCGUGAAUUCAUCUCCGGGGGUAGAGCACUGUUUCGGCUAGGGGGCCAUCCCGGCUUACCAACCCGAUGCAAACUGCGAAUACCGGAGAAUGUUAUCACGGGAGACACACGGCGGGUGCUAACGUCCGUCGUGAAGAGGGAAACAACCCAGACCGCCAGCUAAGGUCCCAAAGUCAUGGUUAAGUGGGAAACGAUGUGGGAAGGCCCAGACAGCCAGGAUGUUGGCUUAGAAGCAGCCAUCAUUUAAAGAAAGCGUAAUAGCUCACUGGUCGAGUCGGCCUGCGCGGAAGAUGUAACGGGGCUAAACCAUGCACCGAAGCUGCGGCAGCGACACUUUAGUGUUGUUGGGUAGGGGAGCGUUCUGUAAGCCGUUGAAGGUGUCCUGUGAGGGGUGCUGGAGGUAUCAGAAGUGCGAAUGCUGACAUAAGUAACGAUAAAGCGGGUGAAAAGCCCGCUCGCCGGAAGACCAAGGGUUCCUGUCCAACGUUAAUCGGGGCAGGGUGAGUCGACCCCUAAGGCGAGGCCGAAAGGCGUAGUCGAUGGGAAACGGGUUAAUAUUCCCGUACUUGGUGUUACUGCGAAGGGGGGACGGAGAAGGCUAUGUUGGCCGGGCGACGGUAGUCCCGGUUUAAGCGUGUAGGCUGGUUUUCCAGGCAAAUCCGGAAAAUCAAGGCUGAGGCGUGAUGACGAGGCACCACGGUGCUGAAGCAACAAAUGCCCUGCUUCCAGGAAAAGCCUCUAAGCAUCAGGUAACAUCAAAUCGUACCCCAAACCGACACAGGUGGUCAGGUAGAGAAUACCAAGGCGCUUGAGAGAACUCGGGUGAAGGAACUAGGCAAAAUGGUGCCGUAACUUCGGGAGAAGGCACGCUGACACGUAGGUGAAGUGAUUUACUCAUGGAGCUGAAGUCAGUCGAAGAUACCAGCUGGCUGCAACUGUUUAUUAAAAACACAGCACUGUGCAAACACGAAAGUGGACGUAUACGGUGUGACGCCUGCCCGGUGCCGGAAGGUUAAUUGAUGGGGUCAGCGCAAGCGAAGCUCCUGAUCGAAGCCCCGGUAAACGGCGGCCGUAACUAUAACGGUCCUAAGGUAGCGAAAUUCCUUGUCGGGUAAGUUCCGACCUGCACGAAUGGCGUAAUGAUGGCCAGGCUGUCUCCACCCGAGACUCAGUGAAAUUGAACUCGCUGUGAAGAUGCAGUGUACCCGCGGCAAGACGGAAAGACCCCGUGAACCUUUACUAUAGCUUGACACUGAACAUUGAGCCUUGAUGUGUAGGAUAGGUGGGAGGCUUUGAAGCGUGGACGCCAGUCUGCGUGGAGCCGACCUUGAAAUACCACCCUUUAAUGUUUGAUGUUCUAACGUGGACCCGUAAUCCGGGUUGCGGACAGUGUCUGGUGGGUAGUUUGACUGGGGCGGUCUCCUCCUAAAGAGUAACGGAGGAGCACGAAGGUUGGCUAAUCCUGGUCGGACAUCAGGAGGUUAGUGCAAUGGCAUAAGCCAGCUUGACUGCGAGCGUGACGGCGCGAGCAGGUGCGAAAGCAGGUCAUAGUGAUCCGGUGGUUCUGAAUGGAAGGGCCAUCGCUCAACGGAUAAAAGGUACUCCGGGGAUAACAGGCUGAUACCGCCCAAGAGUUCAUAUCGACGGCGGUGUUUGGCACCUCGAUGUCGGCUCAUCACAUCCUGGGGCUGAAGUAGGUCCCAAGGGUAUGGCUGUUCGCCAUUUAAAGUGGUACGCGAGCUGGGUUUAGAACGUCGUGAGACAGUUCGGUCCCUAUCUGCCGUGGGCGCUGGAAGACUGAGGGGGGCUGCUCCUAGUACGAGAGGACCGGAGUGGACGCAUCACUGGUGUUCGGGUUGUCAUGCCAAUGGCACUGCCCGGUAGCUAAAUGCGGAAAAGAUAAGUGCUGAAAGCAUCUAAGCACGAAACUUGCCCCGAGAUGAGUCUUCCCUGAGACUUUGAGUCUCCUGAAGGAACGUUAAAGACGAUGACGUUGAUAGGCCGGGUGUGUAAGCGCAGCGAUGCGUUGAGCUAACCGGUACUAAUGAACCGUGAGGCUUAACCUUACAACGCCGAAGCUGUU
rnacentral:rRNA from 1 species